rnacentral:ncRNA from 1 species
UGUGGUGGAUUCAUCCGACCCGUCUUGAAACACGGACCAAGGAGUUCAGUAGGCACGCGAGUCGUUGACGUUUUUCAUUGAACAGUCGAAGGCGAAAUGAAAGUGUUAAUGAAAAUGAACUGUACUUCUUUAUGGAGUGCUGUUCAAUUUUUCAACAUGAUCGUCCUUUUUUGUGCUUAAUUGUGCAAAAUAAUAGAUGUAUGGGGACGCGCAGUGUGGUGCCGUUGAAUAGUCGCACUGUUCUCUCUUUCUCUUCGGGGUUGGAGGAACAAUUGUCGAUCAGUCGGUUUCGGAGCGUGCACACUGGUACCCGAAAGAUGGUGAACUAUGCUUGAGCAGAAUGAAGCCAGAGGAAACUCUGGUGGAAGUUCGUAGCGGUGUUGACGUGCAAAUCACUCGUCUGACUUGAGUGUAGGGGCGAAAGACUAAUCGAACCAUCCUUUUGAUGGAACCAUGCGAAGGUUGCCCUCAGAAAAACCUGGAAUUUGUUUGGAAACAAAUCUUAUCCAGGGAGAACUAAAAUAUAAAA